rnacentral:rRNA from 1 species
UGCAAGUCGAACGGCAGCAUGGAGAGCUUGCUCUCUGAUGGCGAGUGGCGAACGGGUGAGUAAUAUAUCGGAACGUGCCUAGUAGUGGGGAACAACCAGCCGAAAGGUUGGCUAAUACCGCAUACGACCUACGGGUGAAAGCAGGGGAUCUUCGGACCUUGCGCUAUUAGAGCGGCCGAUAUCUGAUUAGGUAGUUGGUGGGGUAAAGGCCUACCAAGCCGACGAUCAGUAGCUGGUCUGAGAGGACGAUCAGCCACACUGGGACUGAGACACGGUCCAGACUCCUACGGGAGGCAGCAGUGGGGAAUUUUGGACAAUGGGGGAAACCCUGAUCCAGCCAUCCCGCGUGAGUGAAGAAGGCCUUCGGGUUGUAAAGCUCUUUCGAAAGUGAAGAAAACUUAUUUCGUAAUAUGUUAUAAGUAUGACGGUAACUUUAGAAGAAGCACCGGCUAACUACGUGCCAGCAGCCGCGGUAAUACGUAGGGUGCAAGCGUUAAUCGGAAUUACUGGGCGUAAAGCGUGCGCAGGCGGUUAUGUAAGACAGGCGUGAAAUCCCCGGGCUCAACCUGGGAAUUGCGCUUGUGACUGCAUAACUAGAGUACGGCAGAGGGGGAUGGAAUUCCGCGUGUAGCAGUGAAAUGCGUAGAUAUGCGGAGGAACACCGAUGGCGAAGGCAGUCCCCUGGGCCUGUACUGACGCUCAUGCACGAAAGCGUGGGGAGCAAACAGGAUUAGAUACCCUGGUAGUCCACGCCCUAAACGAUGUCAACUGGUUGUUGGGUAUUUACUUACUCAGUAACGAAGCUAACGCGUGAAGUUGA